GCUUCGGCUCCAGUGGCGAACGGUCGCGUAACACGUAGACAACCUGCCCGAGAGUGGGGGACAACCGCGGGAAACUGCGGCUAAUACCGCAUGCGGCGGGGGGUGGCAUCGCCCCUUUGCUAAAGGAGCAAUCCGCUCUGGGAUGGGUCUGCGGCCUAUCAGGUAGUUGGUGGGGUAACGGCCUACCAAGCCGACGACGGGUAGCUGGUCUGAGAGGAUGAUCAGCCGGACGGGGACUGAGACACGGCCCCGACUCCUUCGGGAGGCAGCAAUGAGGAAUAUUGCGCAAUGGGGGAAACCCUGACGCAGCGACGCCGCGUGGGUGAGGAAGUCCUUCGGGAUGUAAAGCCCUUUUGACCGGGACGAAACGGACGGUACCGGUCGAAUAAGCCCCGGCUAACUACGUGCCAGCAGCCGCGGUAAUACGUAGGGGGCCAGCGUUGUCCGGAUUUACUGGGCGUAAAGCGCGCGUAGGCGGAAGGUUAAGUCUGGCCUGAAAGCCCCCGGCUCAACCGGGGAGGGUGGCUGGAAACUGACCUUCUUGAGGAUGAGAGAGGCGUGUGGAAUUCCUGGUGUAGCGGUGAAAUGCGUAGAUAUCAGGAGGAACACCCGUGGCGAAGGCGGCACGCUGGCUCAUCCCUGACGCUGAGGUGCGAAAGCGUGGGGAGCGAACGGGAUUAGAUACCCCGGUAGUCCACGCCGUAAACGAUGGUCACUAGGUGUGUGCGGUAUCGACCCCGCACGUGCCGCAGCUAACGCAAUAAGUGACCCGCCUGGGGAGUAC
rnacentral:rRNA from 1 species